GACGAACGCUGGCGGCGUGCUUAACACAUGCAAGUGGAGCGGUAAGGCCCUUUCGGGGGUACGACGAGCGGCGAACGGGUGAGUAACACGUGGGUGACCUGCCCUUAGCUCUGGGAUAAGCCUGGGAAACUGGGUCUAAUACCGGAUAUGACUCCAUGACGCAUGUUGGUGGGGUGGAAAGCCUUGUGCGGCUAGGGAUGGGCCCGCGCCUAUCAGCUUGUUGGUGGGGUGAUGGCCCACCAAGGCGACGACGGGUAGCCGGCCUGAGAGGGCG
rnacentral:rRNA from 1 species